CAGUAGCCACGGUAUACAGAGGGUGCGAGCGUUAAUCGGAUUUACUGGGCGUAAAGCGUGCGUAGGCGGCUUCUUAAGUCGGAUGUGAAAUCCCUGAGCUUAACUUAGGAAUUGCAUUCGAUACUGGGAAGCUAGAGUAUGGGAGAGGAUGGUAGAAUUCCAGGUGUAGCGGUGAAAUGCGUAGAGAUCUGGAGGAAUACCGAUGGCGAAGGCAGCCAUCUGGCCUAAUACUGACGCUGAGGUACGAAAGCAUGGGGAGCAAACAGGAUUAGAGACCCCCGUAGUCCCUGUCUCUUAUACA
rnacentral:rRNA from 1 species